CAAGGAAUUUUCGUCAAUGGGGGAAGCCCUGAACGAGCAACGCCGCGUGGGCGAAGAAGUCCCUCGGGAUGUAAAGCCCUUUUCCCUGUGAAGAAAGAAAGACGGUAACAGGGGAAUAAGCACCGGCUAACUCCGUGCCAGCAGCCGCGGUAAUACGGAGGGUGCGAGCGUUGUCCGGAAUCAUUGGGCGUAAAGGGCGCGUAGGUGGCCCGGUCAGUCUUUGGUGAAAGCGCGGGGCUCAACCCUGCGUCGGCCAGGGAUACUGCCGCGGCUGGAGCACUGUAGAGGCAGGCGGAAUUCCGGGUGUAGCGGUGGAAUGCGUAGAGAUCCGGAAGAACACCGGUGGCGAAGGCGGCCUGCUGGGCAGUGGCUGACACUGAGGCGCGACAGCGUGGGGAGCAAACAGGAUUAGAUACC
rnacentral:rRNA from 1 species